GAUCCUGGCUCAGGAUGAACGCUAGCGGCAGGCUAACACAUGCAAGUCGAGGGGUAACAGGGAGUGGCAACACUCUGCUGACGACCGGCGCACGGGUGCGUAACGCGUAUGCAACCUACCCUGUACAGGGGGAUAACGGAGAGAAAUUUCCACUAAUAUCCCAUGGUGUCGAGGAACCGCAUGGUUCUUCGACUAAAGCUUCGGUGGUACAGGACGGGCAUGCGUGACAUUAGGUAGUUGGCGGGGCAACGGCCCACCAAGCCGACGAUGUCUAGGGGAGCUGAGAGGCUUAUCCCCCACACUGGUACUGAGACACGGACCAGACUCCUACGGGAGGCAGCAGUGAGGAAUAUUGGUCAAUGGGAGGAAUCCUGAACCAGCCAUGCCGCGUGGGGGAAGAAGGUCCUAUGGGUUGUAAACCCCUUUUACGCCGGAGUAAUAAGAGCCUUGCGAGGCUCGAUGAGAGUACGGCGGGAAUAAGCAUCGGCUAACUCCGUGCCAGCAGCAGC
rnacentral:rRNA from 1 species